rnacentral:rRNA from 1 species
GACGAACGCUGGCGGCGUGCUUAACACAUGCAAGUCGAACGGUGAAGCGCCUUCCUUUUUGGUGGGUGUGGAUGAGUGGCGAACGGGUGAGUAACACGUGAGUAACCUGCCCCCUUCUUCUGGAUAACCGCAUGAAAGUGUGGCUAAUACGGGAUAUUCUGGGUCUGUCGCAUGAUGGGUCUGGGAAAGAUAUUGUUUCGGUGGGGGAUGGGCUCGCGGCCUAUCAGCUUGUUGGUGGGGUGAUGGCCUACCAAGGCGGUGACGGGUAGCCGGCCUGAGAGGGUGGACGGUCACACUGGGACUGAGACACGGGCCAGACUCCUACGGGAGGCAGCAGUGGGGAAUAUUGCACAAUGGGCGCAAGCCUGAUGCAGCGACGCCGCGUGAGGGAUGGAGGCCUGCGGGUUGUGAACCUCUUUCGCCAGUGAAGCAGGCCUGCCUCGUUUGUGGGUGGGUUGACGGUAGCUGGAUAAGAAGCGCCGGCUAACUACGUG